UACAGGGCUCUCUGAAUAACCUCCUGAUAGGGCUGCUUGCUUUUCUCAGUACAAGGUGUUGAGAGAGAGAGAGAUCUAAGAUGUAAGCCAGUGUUUUCGUAACUUAAUCUUGGAAGGACAUCUCAUUACUUCUGCCCCAAUCUAUUGAUUGGAAGUGAAUCAGCAACAUGUUUAAGAUUACAGAUGUGAGCAAAAACCAGUGUAAACUUUUACUACUUUGUGAAAAAGUUCAUCGAGCUUAACUUCUCCCUGCCAGGCCCCAUCACAUAACGGUAAAGAACACCUGGCCCUAAAAGGGUCAGGGUAUACAAAAAAGGAUUCUGAAUGAGAUGGGGGCAACAGAGGACAGAGUGAAGGUACCGAAUGUGGGCAGAGAAAGAGGCUGGGAGAGUCAAGAAGGCUUAGGAAACUAAGCAGAGGUUAAUACUCCACUGAUCCACUAAUUCCACUUUCCCAGAAAUGGAAUGGGUCAGAUGACAAACCCUUUGGCUAGUUUCCCUUUGAAAAUAAUUUGUUUCAAGAAGUCCAGCAACACUGGUCCGCCCUUCCAAAUUCUGCUUUGCAGAAUCAUCCGACUCCGGCCUGAACUGCUCUGUCAGCGUGGCUGGCAAUCCAGGCCUCCCUCAAACUAAUAAGUGAGUCAGAAGACAGCAAGGUGGUCGCACACAACGGCGAAAUCUUCUCUCCUGGUACUCAAUGUGCAUUCAAGCCUUGAACUUCUUUUGUCCAAGUUAAUGGAUAUUAAAGCUUUUGGCUAUAAACAUUCUCUAAUAGUCAGGGUGGAGAUAUUUUCUCUGACUUUGUACUCUUGCCACACACAUGUGUAAGACAUGUACGCAUGAUUGUA